CUACUCCUCCCUGCUUCGGCGGAGGGCUGCUCUCCUCCUCCCUCCUCCAAGCGGCGCCGCGCUCGCCUUCGUGCAGCGCGGAUCUAGCACCCUCUCCUCCCUUCUCGCCACCACUGGCCUCGAGCUCCGUGCGGACUGCUCUCCUCCUCCCUCCCCUGCGGCGUGGCGACGGUGGGCGCGGGCGCAGGCGGCGUGUGGCGGGCGCGGUCGGGUCUGCGCAAGCUCGAGCUCGGCUGCCGCGUGGCCAGCGGAGCUCCGCCUCCGCGCUCGCCUUCGGGCUCCACCACCGCGCUCCGCCUCCGCGGUCUUGCCACGCUCCGUUCGUCCUCUGCGCAGGAAGCAGCAGCUCCCGAGGCGAGGGAGCUGUACCGUAUGCCGGUGCAGACAGCCUCGAACUGUACUAGUGUUGCCCUCUGCAAUGCCCCAGGCGAGCAUGAACAUGGCGACCACGGACAUCGUACGGGCCUCCGAGCGCCGCUGAUGUCGCGGCCUCCACAAUGGCGCCCGCGAUCACUGUGGCGUCCAGCAGGUCACCGGUGAGUACUUUGUCAAGCUUGGGUGAGUCAAGCUUGGUCACCCGCUCCUCCAGCUCAUCUCGCAAUGCAGAGCACCCUGAGCCUCUGGAGCACGAGGAGGCCCGGGCCUUGUGUGAUUGCGGGUGCAUUUUACUCUAAAUAAAAUUUAUCACUGUGUCACGAGUGUUCGAACAGUCUCUAACAAGUGUUUUCCCCCUUCAACAACAUAUGUAUGCUACCUUUUUUUCCCCCUUCGGACACACCCGCUCAUGUUAGCAUGGAGAAAAGGAAAUUAUCUUUUUCUCGAUGUCUUAAUGGUACCAUCUUCCUGUAUAAAUAAAUAUUAUUGCAGUGAAAUAUGUAAUAUGUAUAGCGCUUGAGUUUGUUUAAGCUA